rnacentral:rRNA from 1 species
UACGUAGGGUGCGAGCGUUAAUCGGAAUUACUGGGCGUAAAGCGUGCGCAGGCGGUUUUGUAAGCCCGGUGUGAAAUCCCCGGGCUCAACCUGGGAAUGGCAUUUGGGACUGCAAGGCUGGAGUGCGGCAGAGGAGACUGGAAUUCCUGGUGUAGCAGUGAAAUGCGUAGAUAUCAGGAGGAAUACCGAUGGCGAAGGCAGGUCUCUGGGCUGACACUGACGCUCAUGCACGAAAGCGUGGGGAGCAAACAGG